rnacentral:rRNA from 1 species
CUGUUCCACCCUGAAUACACCAGAUCUUACUUGAUCUCAGAAGCUAAACUGUAUCUGGCCUGAUCAGUACUUGAAUGGGAGAAAUCCCACUGGGUGAAAGAGAAUCUGGUUAAAAAACUGA